GCUCUGAGCUGCCGCAAGGGCUGGGGCGACUUUCCGGAGACGCCAGCAGAGGCCCCUGCCCCGCGCCGCCGUGGACGCCUCGUUUCUUCAGAGGAAGGAAGCGGGGCAGAGGCCCGGCCACAGGGCGCAGCCGUUGGGACGCGAGGCCUCCGGAGGAGCCAGGUCGGCGCUCUGCAACUCUCCUCGGGGAAGGCGUCUCCCUGCCAGGAUCCUACGCUGCCAGACUUACGAAGCUACCUGGCAGCCAUCUGUCACACAGUGCCCUGCUCCCCCCUCCCCCCCCCCCCGGGGAGGGGGGACCCAGGCAGCCUUGGCGCCAGGCCGUGGGAAGAGCGAGUCCCCGGGCGCUCACGGGCAGGCCAGGCUUCCCUUCAACACUGUUUCUCUGCUUGGCCACCAGCACGGGGGAUUUCAUCACCUUCUUGCCUAACAGCAGAAACCUGCAUCUUUCUUGGCUCUGCCCAGGGAAGCUGGGGGGUGGGGGUGAGGGGUGAGCAGCCACGUGGCCUGCGUGUGAGUGUGAGGAAGGGAGCCCCCCACGCAGCAACCCUCCCCUACCCCCAGGUCCAGGGAAGAGGCCAUGGCAGAGGCCAUGACCACACACCUGGGUUGAGCGGAUGUUGCUCGUGGGGGAAGCAGGUUACAAGUCCAGCAUGUGCCCAGCUACAUCCCCCCUACAGCCCCCUCUUCCUCAGUCACCAGGGGCUUCAGCUGCCUGGGACACACACUCCGUGCCACAAAGGCGUCAUGUGCUUUUCACGCGUGUACUCAAUUCUCCCCCGCAAUCUUGUAAGGCGGUACAGUGACCAGGAUACCACAUGGCUGGCAACGGGCAGGGCCAGGAUUCUACUCCAAAAUUUUGUACUUGUCCCCACUGCACCACAAAGAGAACUCCUGAAAACCCACUCCAGGCCCUGCAUGUGGAGGACAACUGUCACAAAAACGCAUAGUGAAUCAACUCCACGACAUGGACCUGGACAUGAACAUGGACACCCAUCCCCGAUGCAGGCCGUGACGCUCCAGUUCUGCUCUUCCGGUUCCUGCGAAGUGCCUCCAGGCACGCCUGCUCUCCCUACCUCACUACAGAAAUCCAAGGAACAUGGACUAAAACACUCUGCAGGCAGCACGGUGCCUGCAUCUCCGGCUAUGGAUGCUACGCUAUGCAACCUUGCCCUUCAAAGUGCUCACCUGCUCCUACGCCUGCCCACGGGUUGGACAAUUUAA
rnacentral:lncRNA from 1 species